UACGAGGGGUCCAAGCGUUGUUCGGAAUUACUGGGCGUAAAGCGGGUGUAGGCGGCCGUGUAAGUCGGAUGUGAAAGCCCUGGGCUCAACCCAGGAAGUGCAUCCGAUACUGCAUGGCUUGAGUACUGAAGAGGGAAGUGGAAUUCCUGGUGUAGCGGUGAAAUGCGUAGAUAUCAGGAGGAACAUCGGUGGCGAAGGCGGCUUCCUGGUCAUGUACUGACGCUCAGACCCGAAAGCGUGGGUAGCAAACAGG
rnacentral:misc_RNA from 1 species